GAGGGUGCGAGCGUUAAUCGGAAUUACUGGGCGUAAAGCGCACGUAGGCGGCUUGGUAUGUCGGGUGUGAAAUCCCCGGGCUCAACCUGGGAACUGCAUCCGAAACUGCCUUGCUCGAGUAUGGGAGAGGGAAGUGGAAUUUCCGGUGUAGCGGUGAAAUGCGUAGAUAUCGGAAGGAACAUCAGUGGCGAAGGCGACUUCCUGGACCAAUACUGACGCUCAGGUGCGAAAGCGUGGGGAGCAAACAGGAUUAGAUACCCUGGUAGUCCACGCCCUAAACGAUGACAACUGGAUGUCGGGAGGGUUUGCCUUCCGGUGUCGUAGCUAACGCGUUAAGUUGUCGGCCUGGGAAGUACGGCCGCAAGGUUG
rnacentral:rRNA from 1 species